GAUGCCGGUCGGAACCUGCCAGCACUGCAGAUGCUGUUGGUCUGCUGUGCCCAUGAUAUUGGGGCAAAGAGGAAGUGGCUAUUUCUACCCUUGGUGUUCAGAAACCAGUGAGCUCUAAGAAUGGUUUAUAGCCUGACAUUU
ensembl:snoRNA